rnacentral:rRNA from 1 species
UACAGAGGCCUCGAGCGUUAGGCGGAAUCACUGGGCUUAAAGGGUGCGUAGGCGGCGCAGUAAGUUGGGUGUGAAAUCCCUCGGCUUAACCGAGGAAUUGCGCCCAAAACUACUGUGCUCGAGGGAGGUAGAGGUGAGCGGAACUUAGGGUGGAGCGGUGAAAUGCGUUGAUAUCCUAAGGAACACCGGUGGCGAAAGCGGCUCACUGGACCUCUUCUGACGCUGAGGCACGAAAGCCAGGGGAGCGAACGGG